CACUGACAUUAGAUACCCCUGUAGUCCAGGGUGUAAACGCUGCAGACUUGGUGUUGGAAGUCCUUUGGGGGCAUUCAGUGCCGGAGAGAAGUUGUUAAGUCUGCUACUUGGGGAGUACGUCCGCAAGGAUGAAACUUAAAGGAAUUGGCGGGGGAGCACCGCAACGGGAGGAGCGUGCGGUUUAAUUGGAUUCAACACCGUAAACUCACCAGGGAAGACUGUUACAUGAAGGCCGAGAUGAAGACUCUGCUAGAUUUUCAG
rnacentral:rRNA from 1 species